rnacentral:rRNA from 1 species
AUGGUUAAGCUAAUAAGAGCACACGGAGGAUGCCUAGGCGCCAGGAGCCGACGAAGGACGUGGCGAACAACGAAACUGCCUCGGGGAGCUGUAAGCAAGCUUUGAUCCGGGGGUGUCCGAAUGGGGAAACCCAGCUGUGGUAAUUCGCAGUUACUCAUACCUGAAUACAUAGGGUGUGUAGAGGCAGACCAGGGGAACUGAAACAUCUAAGUACCCUGAGGAAGAGAAAACAAUAGUGAUUCCGUCAGUAGCGGCGAGCGAACGCGGAACAGCCUAAACCAAGGGGCUUGCCCCUUGGG